CAUUUCCAUACAUGGAAGAGAUUUUUCUACCUCAUGCUCUGGGAGAGAAAAUUAUUAGAAUGUUUAUGGCUUUUCUUACUCCCUCUAGCUCCCCAGUUCUUCCCCAAAGGAAGACAGGUGACCUAUCUAAUUGGUAUAUUUAAGAGCGAGAACGGAACAAGCUUGGUUUCACCUCCUCUGGCUUUUUCAUCUGGGUCAGCAGGUGUUCGGAGGUGUUUGUCUUGAAAACAAAUGAGUAUAUAUGCUCUUUGAGAAGGCCUGAGGCUUCCUUCUCUGCUCAGAACUUGGUAGGUUGGGCUCAACAAUCCAGGGGUGAACUUUCAAAAGCCUCUUGUGACCACAGAGCUAAGUGCAUGUCCAUUCAGCUUUGUCCAGAAUUAAGCUAGCAGGGUUAGAUUUUUGUAUCACUCUAACUGGAGUGCUUAGCUCUUAGUCGAUUCUAAUGCAGGAGGAGAAAAAGAGAGCGCUGUUUCUUGGUUCCCUGAACCUACCAAAAUCUUGGACUUUAGCCUGCAGUUUUGAAAUGCUGGCAUUUCGGGAGCAAGUUGGCACAGAUUUAAGGCUGCUGAUAUAACUGAAAAUGAUGACUUCAGACUUGGGAUUUGGGCAUGAAGACCCACGACCGCCCACUUUGACAGAUGAGAAAACUGAUACGGCUUUACUUCACUGAGACAAAUGCUGUGGCUGCGCCACUGGGAGCCUCCUGAAGUCCCUCCCCCGAAGAAAGCUUCGUGGCCACAGUUUAUACCACAUUCCCACAGAUCAGCCAUCUUUCUCUGACUAGUUGCUGGGAGACUAUAAUGAUCUGCUCCUCCCCCAGCAGAUUUGGGGCAUCACUGAAAGGCUGCUUUGGCUCCAAAAUUCCCCAAGGGAUUAGAAGGGCCUUUGUUGUAAUCACUGUACUAUUUAACUCCUCCCUUUGCCCAAUCUUGUUUGCAUUCCCAGCAUGGGUAUUGAUCAAGAGUACUCGUCAGUAAACAUUCAUACAAA